ensembl:lncRNA
UGGCGGGCACAGCAUGAAGGGUCACAAAGAGUUGGACGCGACUGAGUGCGUGUGUACCCCAUAACCUAGGUUUCAGAUUUUAUAGCUAAUUUGCAGCCCCUUUUAGUUUCCGAUGGUUACAAAAUUUUAAUAGUUAUGCUGGAUGUAGCAUGGAGGGGAACAAAAUUGGGUGCAGGCACCAGCUGUGAGGUGGUUGCAGUUCCCUAAGAGGUGACAGUGACUUGAGGACUUGUAUUUCUACCGAGGGUGAACAAUGCUGCAAGAAAACAUCACUGCCACCUUAACAAUGAGGAAUAGCCAGAUAAUCGACAAAAUCACAGCUUUUCUUGAGUCCUCAGAAAGCUGAGGUCACCAGGCAACUAAGUAAAGCCCCUUCAAGAGAGAGAGACACACACACAGGAACUGUUUCAACUUUAGCAGAGCACAGGAAACAGGGGUGGCUGUCAUACAAGCGGGUAAGAUGAAACCAACAAAAAUUUUAACAAAUGUUUAAAAGCUAGGGUGUCAUGGGCUAGCAUGUCAGUUUAGGGUAGCUGGAGACCAUUCCAGACACGGGGGGUGUUAUAUACUCAUAGGCACGCUUUAUUCUACUGACUCCCCCUGAGGUUCCUGAGAAAAAGUGAGAGCAGGGCAGGAAAUGAGAGAGCUUUCCUCUUUGGUGGUGCAAGCAUAUAUUGAUUAAGGCAGUGCUGGGGGAAGGCAAAAGGCCUCAGCUGCUCCCACAAUCCUUUUCUCCAAUAAGCAACAGCCUUAAGUUAGGGAGGGGCAACAGAGUUUUGCUUAAGUUGUUAUUGUUUUCAUUUAGUUGCUAAGUCAUGUCCAACUCUUUGCAACCCGUGGACUGUAGCCCACCAAGCUGCUCUGUCCAUGAGAUUUCCCAAGCAAGAAUACUGGAGUGGGUUGCCAUUUCCUUCUCCAGGGGAUCUUCCUAACCCAGGGAUCGAACCCACGUCUCCUGCAUUGGCAGGUGGAUUCUUUACCACUGAGCCACCAGGGAAGCCCUCAUCUACUUCUAGGUAAAGGGUAAAAAAACCUUCUUGUCCUUCUUUGACACUUGAAAACCCAUUGAUUUUUUGGGGGAAAACAGAAGCAAAAGACCUCUACUCCAAGGGGAGAAGCAGGGAACUAUCUCAGGCUGAAAAUUCAAGCCCAGGUCUGUUCUGUUAGGGGAAAGGGAAGAAAGAUUGACCCAAAACCAACCACAGGUAGGAGGUGGAGUUUGGGAGCAGGAGCAGAAAUACUGAGAAAGAUCCACUUCUGAAACUCACAUAGGACCUGCCCAAGACUGAAGCAGAAGCAGGAUGUCAGAGACCCUGCUCUAACCCCCGUGAGCCUAGCACCAAAGAGCAAGCUAUGGGAGUAUCCUCUGGGUCGAGGGGCUGGCAUGCUGGGAUGGCUGAAAAGGUGAGAGUGGAGCAGGAAUACAGAAAAAUACAGGAAUACAGAAAAACCCUCUGACACAUGGUCUCCACUCUAAGCAGCAUCACUAGAAGGAUGUGUCUGUGACACACUGAGAUAAUGACAGCAGCAACAAAAUCCAAACCCUGCCUGACUCCUAACUAGAUUAAUUCCAUCUUGCGCCCACCCCUCAGACCAACUUGCGGACAGAAGAGGCGUGACCAUUUCCGGGCAGAAAUACCGUUUACCUCAGUCUCUGCUGUUCUACAAAGGAUAGGCACUCAAUAAGAAUUUACAAAACAUACAAAAAGUCAACAAAGAAAAAAAUCCAAUCCAUUGUCAAAAGAUACAUCAACAGAGCUAGACUGGCAAAUGACACAGAUACUGAAACCAUCAGACAGGAACUUUAAAAAUAGAAACAACUUAGUAUGUUAAACAGCCUGUUGGAAAAAAAAGUUGGCAGCUUACAUGAACAAAGGGGUAAUUUUGGCACAAACACAGAAACUGUAAGAAAGCCAAGUGGAGGGAUUUCCCUGGCUGACUCCAUGCUCCCAAUGCAGGGGGCCCGGGUUCAAUUUCUGGUCAGGGAACUAGAUCCCACAUGCUGCAACUGAAGAUUCUGCUGCCACAGUGAAGAUCGAAGAUUCUGUGUGCUGCAACUAAGACCCGGCACAGCCAAAGAAAUAAAAAGAAAGCGGAAAGGAAAGGCUAGAAAUAAAACACAUGUGAUAUCAAAGAUAAAUUCCUUCAAUGGGCUUGUCAAUAGGUAGCACAGCUGAGGAAAGAAUCCAUGAAUUUGAGAAAGGAACUAACAGAAGCUAGACUCAAACUAGAUUAAGCUAUAAAGGGACACUGACGGGGAAAAACAGAAGUGGAGCUGGCCUCAAGGCCAGCUAGAUCUAAGGACUCAAACAGUAUCUUCAGUCUUUUUUUCACUAUAAACUUUGAUGUGUGUGUUGGUGUGGCACAGAGAGUUCUGCACAUCAUCCCAGUUUAGCAAAUCCAAAGGUAGAGCUCUCCCUUCUAGCUCUAUAUAAUAAAUCUCAGGGAAGGAAUCUGAUUGGCCUGGCUUGGGUCACAUGCUUAUUGAAACAAUUACUGUGACCAGGGAAAGGAUACUCAUUUCUUGUCUGAGCCUAGGUCCAACCCCAGGGUAAUAGGUACAGAGUUUGGGGGUUGGCAAUUAGACCAGACCCAUUUGAGAAUGGCAAGUGGGGGAAGAGUUGCUGUUACCUGAAAAAAAGAGCAAGAGGGGCUUCCCUGGUGAUCCAGGGGUUAAAAAAUCUGCCCACCAAUGCAGGGCACAUGAGUGCAAUCCAGGAAGAUCCGGUCUUGGUCCGGGGAGAUCCCACAUGCUGCAGAGCAACUAAGCUUAUGCGCCACAAUUAACAAGCCAGUGCUCUAGAGCCACAGCUUCUGAAGCGUGCAUGCCUAGAGCCUGUUCUCUGCAACAAGAGAAGCCACCACAAUGAGAAGGCCACUCACAGCAAUGAACAGUAGCCCCUGCUCCUGCAACUAGAGAAGGCCCCCACACAUCAACAAAGACCCAGCACAGCCAAAAAUAAACACAUAAAUCUUAAAAAAAAAAAAAAAGCAAAAGGGAUGCAGAGAAGCCAAAAGCACAGACAUUCAGUGCCUUCGGUUCAGUUGAGUCAACAGUGUUGGUGGUGGUUUAGUCGCUAAGUCAUGUCUGACUCUUGCGACCCCAUGGACUGUAGCCCACCAGGCUCCUCUGUCCAUGAGAUUUUCCAGGCAAGAAUACUGGAGUGGAUUGCCGCUUCCUUCUCCAGGGGAUCUUCCCAAGCCAGGAAUUGAACUCAGGUCUUCAGCACUGCAGGAAGAUUCUUUACCAACUGAGCUAUGAGGGAAGCCCACUUGUGUACCUGCCAAAAAAUUAUAAUUCUAGAAAUCAAUAGUGGAAAUGUACUUAGGGCCAUAGUAGUGAAAAAUACAUUCUGUACUGGUCGUACUGCUCCAAAGCAUCAUUGGGGCACCACACUGAAAGAGGAAUGUUAGCAAAUCACAGUGCUCCCUGGAGGAGGGGUCCAGGAUGAGGAGGCUCAGAAGAUUGAGUCAUUUGAAGAACCAGGGCAAUAAGAGUUUUUGGCCUAGAGAAGAGAAGAUGUAGUAGCCAUGGUUGGCCUUAGAAUAUCCAGAGCAGCCUUGGAUAGAAAGAUGAGACAUCGAAGUAUAGAGGACAACUAGGUCCAGUGUGGAGAAGUCUCAAGGAGGCCAAUGACCAUUUAACAUAAAAACUUUCUAACAGCUAUCCAAGAAUGGACAAUGCUUACUUAUGAAGGUAGUGAGUUCCCUGUCACUAGAGGUGUUUAAGCAAGUGUCAGAGAGGUUGUAAAGGGAAUUCCCAAAUUGCUGGAAAAUUGGAUCAGGUAACCCCCCUGAGGUUCCUUCCCAGUUACAACAGUUCAUGGCUGUCUGUUGGAGAUCUAUGUAAGCUUGCUGCUAACAAGUCUGCCCUGGCCUUCCCAACAUCUGGGAGGUAGAGCUGGUGAGUGCUUUUCCUUCCCUAGAUGAUAAUGACCCCUUCCAACAAAUACCUGAUCACCUACCAACCAGCAGUCAGGAACAGAGCCUUCCAACACUUUUUUUUAAAAAAUUAAUAUUUAUUUAUUUGGCUGCACAGGGUCUUAGUUGUGGCACUCUGGAUUUUUGAAGUUGCAAUAUGCAAAUUCUCAGUUGCAGCAUGCGAGGAUCUAGUUCCCUGACCAGGGAUCAAACCCAGGUCCCCCAGCAUUGGGAGUCUUAGCCACUGGGCCACCAGGGAAGUCCCUUUCCAACACUUCUUAUCUUAGCUCAGCCCUAAGGGAACUGACUUUGACUCUGGCUCUGAAGGUCACAGAAAGACAGCACUCAUGCUAUUUAUGCUCUCUGAAUACAUAUCAUGAGACAAGGACUUGGAUGUAGGCAUUAUUUUAGGGGCUGAGUAGGAGUGAGGGAGCAAUGAGACGGGGAAAUUGAAUUGAGGGGACCACUCUGGGUACUUACAGCUCAGUCCUCCUGGGACCACUCUGAGGAACCAUACAGAUCACUGAUCAGAAUUCCUCCCGAGUGAUAAAGUAAUUCCACUAGUGCCUUCCCUUGUUGAUUGAGGUUUGCCCUUGGGAGAGUUAAGCUCCUGAGACUCCCAGGCUGCCUGGCAGGGGCUGAGGAGAGCCUCUGACAGAAGAGAGGCUGUGUCAGAACCAUCCACUGCAGCUGCAGCUGGACACAAAAGUGGGCUGGAAGGACAUGGGCACUAACAACAACAUCUGCUACAGCCCCUUUCCCACCCAGGCCCAGACCUAUCUUCCAGGGCAGCGUGGGACCUUUGAUUUGCACAUUCCAGCCUCCGUGGUGCACAUUCCAGUGUAGAACCUUUGACGGCACAUUGCCGGUUGGCUAGUUCAGCACAGCCCUGUCUGAGUGUCCACCCACAGCUCUACUGGGCUCCAGUCUCCCUUCUGGGCCUGACUCCCUCUCUGGGCUCUCUGGGCUGGGGGCACCGGGCUGGGCCCUCUAAGCUGGCACCUGCUCUCUUCUCCAUCCACAUGUGAGCUGGAAACAGUGACAUCAGGGACAUUGGCUCCAUCGUCCUACACUGUGUUCAAGGCCAGGGAAGGCUGAAGGCUGGAUGGGCUCUGAGUUUCCUCUCACUAUAUCUUAAAAAGAAAAGGCUAAGCACAACCAAGAACUCAAAGGCCCCAAGAAACCUCACUCAAGGCCAUAGAGACACUUCAAAGAUGGGAAAUCAGAGCACUAACAUUGGAGGCAGGGUUCCUGGCCAGACCCAGAGGACCAAUCCAAGUUGGCUCACCACUCCUCUAACUUCUCUGGCCUGCUUUGGUCAGAGCUGAACACCUCUCUCUCUUCCUCCCUUGGUUCCUCUUAUCUUCUUACUCCCACACUCCUGUCUGGUACUCAGCUCUUCUCUCCUCUUCCAUGUUAAUUACCUUCCAGGGCUGCUUCAUCAUCUCUGAUGUUCACAUCCACAAGUCUUUAAUUUUCGCUCUUUUCUUUUCAUCCCUGCUCAGUGUUCUGAUGUCCAUUUUACCACCUUGGAGAGACUCCACCUGAGCCCUUGGAGAGGAUGAGACAAAGAGAAAUAUUGGAUCCGAGCCCCGCAUAUAACAAGUGAAAUGGAAUAAAGAACUAUGGAGCGCCUGAACACUGAACAAAAAAGGGAAGCUUGAAGGAAGGAGGAGAGGUUGGGUGGACCCUGGAAAUUAUAAACCCAUAGACCUAGGUCUGUUACAUGGGAAAACUUUACAAAUAUUAACUUGUAAACACCCUAGAAAAUCAAAUGAGAUAAUAUACAUGAAAGCACUUUAAAAAAAUAAAACUUUAAAGGGCUAUAGAAGUAUAAGGUGUUAUUAUGAAAUAUUUCUGCUCAGGCAGACUGUAAACCAGAUGCUUGGGGAGGCUGGAGAUUUAUGAUAAUGGCUCAUCACCCACAAGGUACUCACACAUCUUAGGCUGUUUCAUUUAAUUAGUCGUUGCCUCUCAGAGACUACUGCAGAAGCCUUCUAAGUGGCUUCCCACUCCACCUUCUUGCUUGUUCUGUUCAUCUUAUAACUCACUGCUGGGUUAAUUUUCCUGAUGCAAAGCUCUAAUCCAGCAUUUGCUAUGCUUCCUCUGGCUGACAGUAUAGGGCCUGGAGACUUUGGCUUAGCAGCCAGGAUCCUCCAUAAUCUGGUUCUACCCAACUUUUCCAGCCUGAUUUCCCUCCUUCCAGCCUGGCAGAUGCAGGCUCAGGUCAUUUACCCAAGACUACUCAAGACUUCUAACACCAGACACCUGACUCCCAAACCAACGCUCUUUCUUAGCCCGUAACUUCUUCACUUUGAUGAAUAGAACUGCAAUGACGAGCUUUCUACGCUGAGCUUUUUCUCUUCUUUUGAAAAAUUUUCUCAGGACAAAUUCCCAGGAGUGGGAUUACCAGGUCAAAAAACAUUAAUAUUUUUAUGGCUGCAUGAAUUGACGUACACUUUGUAAAAGGGUUGAGCUGAUUUAUAUUUUAGCCAGUGAUAUAAAUAUAUACAGAUUCUACCAGACCCUUCUUUCCACUGGGGUAAACCUUUGAAUAAAUUGCUUAUUGAAUA